AAAAAUAAAUAAUACUGAGAACAUGAGUUGUCCAGUCCUUGAAAACUUCUUCCCUGCAAAUCUUGGCACUGUCAGUGGUGAGCAUGGUGAAAGAUUUCACCAGAAAAUCGUGGUCAUGAAGAAAAGAUAUCAAGGAAACUGGAAUCCAUCAGUGCUGGCGGAUCAUUGUUGGACGUUUAAGUGAGAAGCCUCAGAUGACAUUAACUGACUUGAACAGG